GACAAACGCUGGCGGCGUGCUUAACACAUGCAAGUCGAACGGUGAAGCGCCUUCCUUUUUGGUGGGUGUGGAUGAGUGGCGAACGGGUGAGUAACACGUGAGUAACCUGCCCCCUUCUUCUGGAUAACCGCAUGAAAGUGUGGCUAAUACGGGAUAUUCUGGGUCUGUCGCAUGAUGGGUCUGGGAAAGAUAUUGUUUCGGUGGGGGAUGGGCUCGCGGCCUAUCAGCUUGUUGGUGGGGUGAUGGCCUACCAAGGCGGUGACGGGUAGCCGGCCUGAGAGGGUGGACGGUCACACUGGGACUGAGACACGGCCCAGACUCCUACGGGAGGCAGCAGUGGGGAAUAUUGCACAAUGGGCGCAAGCCUGAUGCAGCGACGCCGCGUGAGGGAUGGAGGCCUUCGGGUUGUGAACCUCUUUCGCCAGUGAAGCAGGCCUGCCUCGUUUGUGGGUGGGUUGACGGUAGCUGGAUAAGAAGCGCCGGCUAACUACGUG
rnacentral:rRNA from 1 species